GGGCAGAGACGUGGAGAAGGAUGAAGGGAGAGCAUUCUGGUAGAGCAAUAAGGAGGCUAAGAGGAGUUGAGCCAGGCAGCCGGUAGAGCAGGCAGAUGGAACAAGAGAGACAGAGAACAGAGCCACCGAGUGGGCACGCAGUGAGGCCUGGCAGCCAAGCCCUAUGGAUUUCCGAGAGAAGCAGAUGCUUCCACAGGAGCAGCAGCUGGUGGUCCCUGAGUGUGUGCCUCCUUGUUGACUCUAGGCCCAGUGCAGCCUCCUGGGCAGCCAGCCUCAGCCUGGAGGUGCAGUCUGGGUCUAGAGAGGCAGAUGACAAGCCUUGCCCCUCUUGGCCGGGGGGGGGGGGGGGGGGGGGCUCCAUCUCUCCUCUGCCAUCCUCUCUUAGGCCCCACCCACCUAUUCCAUCUUCAUUCC
ensembl:lincRNA Gm29172 predicted gene 29172